rnacentral:tRNA from 1 species
CGGGGUGUGCUCAGCUUGGCUAGAGCGCCUGGUUUGGGACCAGGAGGUCGCAGGUUCGAAUCCUGUCACCCCGAC